UACGAAGGGGGCUAGCGUUGUUCGGAAUUACUGGGCGUAAAGGGCGCGUAGGCGGCCUGGCAAGUCGAUGGUGAAAGCCCGAGGCUCAACUUCGGGUCGGCCACUGAUACUGCUGGGCUUGAGUCGACUAGAGGCAGAUGGAAUUCCGGGUGUAGCGGUGGAAUGCGUAGAGAUCCGGAAGAACACCGGUGGCGAAGGCGGUCUGCUGGGGUCGAACUGACGCUGAGGCGCGACAGCGUGGGGAGCAAACAGG
rnacentral:rRNA from 1 species